rnacentral:rRNA from 1 species
AGGACAAACGCUGGCGGCGUACUUAACACAUGCAAGUCGAACGGAAAGGCCCGCUUGCGGGUACUCGAGUGGCGAACGGGUGAGUAACACGUGGGCAACCUGCCCUCAGCUUCGGGAUAACACUUGGAAACAGGUGCUAAUACCGGAUAAUAACCUUUCAUCGCAUGGUGUGGGGUUCAAAGUUUUUCGGCUGGGGAUGGGCCCGCGGCCUAUCAGCUUGUUGGUGGGGUAAUGGCCUACCAAGGCGACGACGGGUAGCCGGCCUGAGAGGGCGACCGGCCACACUGGGACUGAGACACGGCCCAGACUCCUACGGGAGGCAGCAGUGGGGAAUAUUGCGCAAUGGGCGGAAGCCUGACGCAGCGACGCCGCGUGAGGGAUGACGGCCUUCGGGUUGUAAACCUCUUUCAGCUCUGACGAAGCGCAAGUGACGGUAGGAGCAGAGAAGCACCGGCCAACUACGCGCCAGCAGCCGC